GCUGAAGCAGAGAAAAAUCUCGCUAUGAUGGACAAGCACCAACUUGAGAGCUCAGCUUUUCAGAAGUUACUUGCCGAGACUACACAAAUGUAUGAGGAAAAAAUAGCAGAGUUGAUUAAGCAAUUUAGUUUGGAGGAACAAUUGACUUCUGUGCAAGAACAAUUGAGUGAUAGUAAUGACUCACUUGAGAGAAUGGUGCGAGGAACACUUAUGGAAGAUAAGAUAACAGGAAUUCGACCUAAUUGAUUUGGGGAUGUACAAUAGAGUUGGAAGAUGCAUCAAUAAGAUGGGUAAAUAUCACAAAGGUUCCUAGUAGAUUUUUUUGUCACUUUAUGUACUCCCACAUUUUUAAGUA